AUCUUUUGAUUGGUCAUGUGAACAGAACCAGAUUCAGGGAUGAAAACAGGACGUUACUGAUUGGUCCAAAAGAGCACUUUUCUGAUUGGCUCUGUGUACAGUGCAUAUGUUGUCCCUGAGUUUGAAGAGUCCCUGCCCCCGGGUCCCUCACCCUGUGGCUCUGUCUGGACCGGCUAAGAGUUUGGAUGAGCCAACUACUGUGUCUUCCUGGAAAAGAGAGCCCGGUGUGGCCGCACACGUGUGUAACCCCAGCACUCGGAGGCUGAGGCAGGAGUGUCAUGCUACAGAGUGAGACCCUGUCUCAAAAAGCCAAAAACUGAAAAACUGCAAAACCCCACGAGCUCAGAACACCGACCACUGUGCAGAUUCACAGCAUCCAUCCGUCCGCUGAGGACGGGUGCCAUUGUGUGCCCGCCUCACUCGGGGCCCAGGCCGCGCAGAGGCCCAGGCAGGACUGCAGGAGCCAUGAUUUAGAGGCCGCCUGGGCAGCGCGGUCUCACAUUCUUUCAAAAAGAGAGGGAGGUUCCAGCUCUGUGCGCCCCUGCCAGCCUUGACAGGUGUUUCUGCAGGCCGAAGGGGAACUUGCAAUCCUCCUGCCCCAGUGCUGGGGUUAUAGAACUCUGUCACCAGGCUAAGCUUUGUGUGCAUUUUUAAGACAAAAAAAAAAAAAAAAGAAAGAAAGAAAAAAACUUUUCUUCAGGAGCUGGAAAGUCGUUGGUUGGAUUCUCAGCAUCACAAAAAUUAAUUUCUUCCAGUUUCAAAGUGUUUUAGCAAGACAGCAUAUCUAAAUUCUUUCCUUGUUCAUUGUCAUGUUGCUGACUUUUUAUUUCUGACAAAUUGUGUAAGAAUUUACUUGGAGCUUUUGGUAUAUUUUUCUAGGAAUUCACUUGAAGUUAUCAAUUUUUAUAUAUUCAGUAAAUAACUUUUAAUAUCGAUUGUAAAAAAAUAUCAAAUGUUGCUAUGCUUGUACAUUAACAUUUAAACUGGAUUUUGUAAGUUCUCCUUCUUUCUUGGUUAUCAUCUCUAAAAUGUAAUUAGAUCUUUUAAAAGUCAACUUUGGGACAAAUUUUGAAGAUGUUUUAUUAUCGUCUGCUUAUUAAUGGCUGAUUCAAUUGCUCUUAGUCUUACCUUUAAAAUGGGGACAGACAGGUGGCUCAUGUGUGUGAUCCUAGCCCUCAGGAACCUGAAUCAGGAAGAUCGCUGUUGGUUUGAGGCCGGCCUGGUCUACAUAGUAAGGUCAAGGCCAGUCUGAGCUACACAGCAGAGACCCCUUUGUCCUGUGGGCUUCCCCCCGCCCCAUCCUGAUUUGCUUUGGUUUUUGUCGGGGUGUGGAGUUCCACGGAGUCACCCCAGGGCCUGAUGCAUGGUAGGCAGGCAUCUCCUGACCAGCCACAUCCCUGGGCCUUCUGCUUUCAAAUACAGCCACUGCUCCCUGCUCAUCAUUGUGUUCUGGGGCUUUUGUUUGUUUGUUUACUCUAGGGUUUGGGGAGGGAGCUCAGCACUGGAGCCUUUGCCACUCUGCCCCAGCACCAAAAACCUCUUUUCUCAUGAGUUACCAAGAUGUGUGUUACAUGUCUACAAUUUAGAUUUUUUUAAAAGUGAAUUUGUAGGGGGCUGGGGAUUUAGCUCGGCAGCAUCAGUGCCUGCCUUGCAAGUGUGCAGUCGUGAGUUUGAUCCCCGGUACCGAUAAAAAAGACAAAAAAAAAAAAGUGCAUUUGUAUUAUCCUCUAAAUAAAUAGUUGCAAAUCCUUACAAUAGUUUUGCCUGUUCCGUAAGCUUGUAUAAAUUAAUUCCUGGGGUGCUUUUGUUCUUGUUUCCCACAAUUUGUAUAUCCAUUAACAGACAUCUGCUUUGUUUCGAGUUUAGGGGACUGUUAAUAAAAUGAUUAUGGACAUUUUCACGA